CCUACGGGUGGCAGCAGUGGGGGAUAUUGCACAAUGGGGGGAACCCUGAUGCAGCGACGCCGCGUGAGCGAAGAAGCGCCUCGGCGCGUAAAGCCCUGUCAGCAGGGACGAAAAUGACGGUACCUGAAGAAGAAGCCGCGGCUAACUACGUGCCAGCAGCCGCGGUAAUACGUAGGGGGCAAGAGUUAUCCGGAUUUACUGGGUGUAAAGGGGGCGCAGACGGCGAUGCAAGCCAGGAGUGAAAACCCGGGGACCAACCCCGGGACUGCUCUUGAAACUGGGUGGCUGGAGUGCCGGAGGGGCAGGCGGAAUUCCUGGUGUAGCGGUGAAAUGCGUAGAUAUUAGGAGGAACACCGGUGGCGAAGGCGGCCUGCUGGACUGCAACUGACGCUGAGGCCCGAAAGCGUGGGGAGUAAACAGGAUUAGAUACCCCUGUAGUC
rnacentral:rRNA from 1 species